rnacentral:rRNA from 1 species
GACAGAGGGUGCAAACGUUGUUCGGAAUUACUGGGCGAAAGCGUGUGUAGGCGGUCCUCUAAGUCGGAUGUGAAAUCCCUGGGCUCAACCCAGGAAAGUGCACUCGAAACUGGAGGGCUAGAGUAUCGGAGAGGUUGGUGGAAUUCUCGGGUGUAGAGGUGAAAUUCGUAGAUAUCGAGAGGAACACCGGUGGCGAAGGCGGCCAACUGGACGAAUACUGACGCUGAGAACACGAAAAGCGUGGGGGAGCAAAACAGG